rnacentral:rRNA from 1 species
AUUGAACGCUGGCGGCAUGCCUUACACAUGCAAGUCGAACGGUAACAGGUCUUCGGAUGCUGACGAGUGGCGCACGGGUGAGUAAUACAUCGGAACGUGCCCGAUCGUGGGGGAUAACGAGGCGAAAGCUUUGCUAAUACCGCAUACGAUCUACGCAUGAAAGCGGGGGAUCUUCGGACCUCGCGCGGACGGAGCGGCCGAUGGCAGAUUAGUUAGUUGGUGGGAUAAAAGCUUACCAAGCCGACGAUCUGUAGCUGGUCUGAGAGGAUGAGCAGCCACACUGGGACUGAGACACGGCCCAGAGUCCUACGGGAGGCAGCAGUGGGGAAUGUUGGACAAUGGGGGAAAGCCUGAUCCAGCCAUGCCGCGUGCAGGAUGAAGGCCUUCGGGUUGUAAACUGCUUUUGUACGGAACGAAAAGCCUCUUUCUAAUAAAGAGGGGUCAUGACGGUACCGGAAGAAUAAGCACCGGCUAACUACGUG